rnacentral:rRNA from 1 species
UACAGAGGUCUCAAGCGUUGUUCGGAUUCAUUGGGCGUAAAGGGUGCGUAGGCGGCGCGGUAAGUCGGGUGUGAAAUCUCGGAGCUUAACUCCGAAACUGCAUUCGAUACUGCCGUGCUUGAGGACUGGAGAGGAGACUGGAAUUCCUGGUGUAGCGGUGAAAUGCGCAGAUAUCAGGAGGAACACCGGUGGCGAAGGCGGUUCUCUGGGCAUUACCUGACGCUGAGGAGCGAAAGUGUGGGGAGCGAACAGG